rnacentral:rRNA from 1 species
GAUGAACGCUAGCGGCAGGCCUAAUACAUGCAAGUCGAACGGUAAAUGUCCCCUCGGGGGCAUGAGAGUGGCGCACGGGUGCGUAACGCGUAUGCAACCUACCCAAUGCUGUCGGAUAGCCCGGAGAAAUCCGGAUUAACCCGUCAUGAGGAGCUUGAGGGGCAUCCCUUGGGUUUCAAAUAUUCAUAGGCGUUGGAUGGGCAUGCGUGCUAUUAGGUAGUGGGCGGGGUAACGGCCCACCAAGCCGACGAUAGCUAGGGGAUCUGAGAGGACGGUCCCCCACACUGGUACUGAGACACGGACCAGACUCCUACGGGAGGCAGCAGUAAGGAAUAUUGGGCAAUGGAGGCAACUCUGACCCAGCCAUGCCGCGUGAAGGAUGGAGGCCCUACGGGUCGUAAACUUCUUUUGUCAGGGAAUAAAGUCGCCUACGUGUAGGCGUUUGCAAGUACCUGAAGAAUAAGCAUCGGCUAACUCCGUGCCAGCCGCCGCGGUAAUAC